rnacentral:lncRNA from 1 species
CUCAAUGGGGAUGAUGUUGAGAAUUUGAUAAUUUGUUAGAUCAAAGUAUACAAUAGAAUAAACAAAGAAUGUCGAGGCUCACAAUACUACGUUCAGUGUGAUAGAAAGAGUUGUCCGCUAUUAGAAGGGUAAUGUGACAGCCUGGUCUAGAGAAGCGGUCUGACGAGGGCGGGUAGUGAACGCCAGGGUAAAGAAAAGAUAGGAUGCUUGGACAAGGAGCGGCUUUUGGCAGGCUUCUACGAUGGCAACACUUUAAGGUACGGGGGUACAUGAAUGAAUCGAAUUGCACAUUGAAAUGGGAUGGGGAAUAGUUGAUAACAUAUAUGUAAAGAGUUAGAACUAAUCAAAUGAAGCACCUUUUGAUUGUUUGGUCUUGUUGUUGUAGGAACUCCAAAGUUAAACGUGCUUGGUUCAGAGAAAUUUCAGGAUGGGAGACCUCUUAGGAAGUUCUCGAACCCGCCAAAAUGAACAAUAUCUCAUGUGAACUGGUUCUGGAUCGUUACAGGUAACCACAAGUAGGUGGCCUGCGCAGGAAAGACCAUUGCAUAAGGUAAGACUCCAGCAAGGCCCGUGGAACAUGAGUGUCGGGGGGUUGAAGGAUUAAGCUAAGCAGAUUAUUAAGCUGCUCCUCAUAUAGUUUUUCAUUUCAGUCGCUGAAGAACUCCAAUCCCUACUGCUGAAAGGCUAGACAUAAUAAAGGAAUAAGUCCUUGGGGGUCAUGGUCAUCUCCCCACAAGGAAAAUGGAAGGUGUUGGUGGUGUCCCGCCAUCUCUUUCUCAGCAUUAAUAAAAAAAAUGUUAGCAAAUUACUCUAUAAGGAUGUUAGCCAUAUGGUGCAACCCAAUGGGCAUGGCAAGUUGCAUCACAUCUAAAUGCAUGACCAUAUAGUUGUGCGCAAACUCCAGGUGUUUUAAGGCUUCCCUUGUAGCAUAGAGCAGCAUCCUAAGGAAGAAAAGAAAAGCUAAAUUACUUGUGUAAUUAUUUAAAAAAAUAUAACAUAAUGAUAAAUAAUAUAAUAAAUUACUGAUUAUUUUUUUAUAGGAACAGAAAAGAAGACAUAAAAGAAACCUAGAUUAUGAAAGAUUGGGAGAUGUGAGUCUUUAGUUCCUGUAACAGAUUGCUAGGAUCAACAAUCUCUUGUGGCGCUUGGUAGCCAUCCCGACGGAUCUGGGAGGGACCUCAGCUGGAAGCCAUCUUGGAAGCAAGAGAAAGGCAUAUAUGUAAAAUUUCUAGAGAGAGAAAUAAGAAUGAAGAAAUGGUGAGAAAUGAAGAAGCACCCCUACUUAUAGGGAGGGGAGGGGGCUUUGGUCCACUUAAAAGCCAUAAAAUGUGGUUUUGGAUGCAUCCGACCUUAAAGUCACACAUGGGUAAUUUUUCUGAUCUUGUAUGAUUUGUAUCAAUUUUUUAAGUAUUCAUGCACCUCUUAGGAUGUACCUCGUAUGGUGAUUUUACUAAAAAUAAAAACAC